AGUAAGACGAAGCUGCGUACCCUCUUUCUAUGUCUGUAGCCAUGUCUAUGGGCUCUGGAGUUGGCACGUGGGUGAGGGCCUGCU
rnacentral:pre_miRNA from 1 species